UACAGGAAACAAAUUCUACAUUGCCGCUCCUCAAAAUUACAGUGCUCCAUUAUUACGUUUGAUUAUGUAACAUAACAAUGAGGUACUGUAUGCAUGAUGAAAUAUGCACCCUUUUUUGGCGAGGGAGUAGCCGACAUAGGGAAAUAAUGCAUAUGAAACAUACAUAAAUUAGGCUAAAAUAUGUGGAUGAAAAGAGGGUGCGGUUAUGACGGAAAGGUCGGGAAGGUUUGUGGCGUGUGAGAUGCACGCACGAACGGCAGCUUGGCAGUGUAAGCUAUACAAAGAAGACAACCGACCUGCGUGUGUGGGUGUAGGUAUGUGUGGGAUUCGGUGUGUUGGUGUGUGUAGGGGUGAAAGACAUAGAGACAGACAAAGACGUGCAGAGAAACAGCGACAGAAUGACAAACCGAGAGACAGACAGCGACCUAAGCAAUCAUCAAAGCGCGUUACUGAUAGGUUGACAACCAAACAAGCAGAAAUUAAGAUGUUGGCUUUCCUUACUACUGGUGACGGCUACAAACUAUCCUAAGGGCGCGAGGGUAAAACAAGGACAAACUCUGCCUGCAAACAAUAACCAAGAAAGAUGUGACGUGGGGUGGCCGUAAGAUAAGCUGCCAGAAGGUGCGCGUUUGGCGGGAGAAUGUGCAUACGAGGCAGUGAGGAUGUGUAGGUAGAACUGAGAUGUUACAAGCAGGUGGUGAUGUGUGGAUGACCCGUUAAACAAGUUACGAUGAUGAGAGAGAGAGAGAGAGAGAGAGAGAGAGAGAGAGAGAGAGAGAGAGAGAGACUAAUGACUUUCCUUGUUCACAGGCGCGGCGAGCAAUGUUGUGUAUUGUUAUGUUGCUGUCGGUCAGUGCAGGGGCUUCGCGGGGGCAGCAUGGGCCUUAAAGCUGUCUGCACGUUACCACGGUCAACACACGCGCUUGCCCGAACUGCCUCGCCUCGUCUCCUUAUAUGAUUAAUGGUGAACACGCGCGACUCUUGCUGAAAAAUGAUUUGGCACUGAAAAAGUAAUGCAACGCCGAGAAAGAGAACAGUAGCUUACCUUCGCUCCGUUGAGGUGGUGAUGGUGGUGGUGCGUGGAGGUGGUAGGUGGGGGGUCACAUUAAGGGCUCAGUGGGGGUUCAGCCCAUCGCUCCCUGCCCUGAGUUGAAAGCUUGGAUUCGACGGCGUACUUGCGGCAGUCCCCAUGUGGCCCCCGACCCACCGCCGCCCGCCCGCUGAACACCUUCGUCGGGACCUGGAACAAGAAAGAAAUGUAACUGAAAUUAGGAUAGAAUAAUGAUGGAUGGAUUUAACAAUACUUAUCGCUGUAAAACAUUAUCAGCAGCAGUUGGGGAAGUCUUUCUAUUACCUACAUAUCCCUUCAUCGCCUGACCCUUGCCUGCAGGGAGGGACGCUGCGCUUCCUGAACGUCAUGAGCCUUGAUAUACUUGUCAUGGGGCCACGUGGCUGACACACUACCCAAGCUCGAUCAAUGCAAAGGCACUUUGCUUCCUUUCCAUUACCUGCUUGCAUUAACUUUAGCAUAUGGAGAGAAAAUUAGUGUAAACUAAUUAUCAGGGGGUGGAGGGGGCCUGAUGCCAUUACUCGCCAUGCUGCUCUCUUUAUUGUGUUAACAACUUAACACACACACACACACACACACACACACACACACACACACACACACACACACACACACACACACACACACAUAC